rfam:Triticum aestivum genome assembly, contig: Triticum_aestivum_CS42_TGACv1_scaffold_146003_2BS
AUAGUACUCCCUCCGUCCGGAAAUACUUGUCGCAAAAAUGAAUAAAAAUGGAUGUAUUUAGAACUAAAAUACGUCUAGAUACAUCCAUUUCUCCGACAAGUAUUACCGGACGGAGGGAGUAUAUA